AGGACGAACGCUGGCGGUGUGCUUCACACAUGCAAGUCGAACGAGGUAGCAAUACCUAGUGGCGGACGGGUGAGUAACGCGUGGGAAUCUGCCUUUGGAUGGGGGAUAACGGUUCGAAAGAGUCGCUAAUACCGCAUAUGACGAAAGUUGAAAGGAGUAAUCCGUCUAAAGAUGAGCCCGCGUCCGAUUAGCUAGUUGGUAAGGUAAGAGCUUACCAAGGCGACGAUCGGUAGCUGGUCUGAGAGGAUGAUCAGCCACAAUGGGACUGAGGCACGGCCCAUACUCCUACGGGAGGCAGCAGUGGGGAAUUUUACGCAAUGGGCGAAAGCCUGACGUAGCGACACCGCGUGAACGAAGAAGCCUCUUGGGGUGUAAAGUUCUGUCAGCUGGAACGAAAAAAUGACGGUACCAGCAGAGGAAGCAUCGGCUAACUACGUGCCAGCAGCCGC
rnacentral:rRNA from 1 species